GCCGAGGUAGCUCAGAGGUAGAGCACUGGUUUGAAGAGCCAGGUGUCGGCAGUUCGAUUCUGCCCCGCGGCACCA
rnacentral:tRNA from 1 species